AUUGUAGGGCGAGAGAUAAUCCUCGGGAACUCCACCCGAUUCCACCAUUUGAACGAUGGAAUAUGUUCUUGUGGGCACUAUUGGUGAAGACUGUUACGACCCUUUGGAUCCGAAUGAGAAUAUAACAAUUACGUAUGAUAUCAUUUCAUGGACCACUGACACCGAUGGUUAUUGGGCAAAGGUGACCAUCGAGAACUAUUACCAGUACCGCCACGUGGAGAAACCUGGAUGGAAAUUAGGGUUUGAUUGGGCUGAGAACGAGGUAAUAUGGUCAAUGACCGGUGCCCUAGCCACACAGUCAGGCAAUUGCUCAGCCUUCAAGUAUAGGGUCCCCUAUUGUUGCCAAAGAAGCCCUGAGAUCAUAGACCUCAUGCCUGAUGCAGCUCCCAUUAACAGAUCAGAAAAUUGUUGCAGAAAUGGAGUCUUGGCUGCUCGUGACAUUGACCAAAAAAAUGCAAUUUCCAUUUUAUAUGACCGUGGGGAACUUACCCAGCCUUUGGACAGGGAAGACACCAAAGAAUGUGACAUUCAUGGCUCCUGGACCAGGCUACACAUGUAGUCCUUUUGCUGAUUAUUCACCCACUAUUUUCCCUUCUGUUGGCGGUCGGAGAGAAACUCAAGCAAUUAGGACAUGGAAAUCAACUUGUACCUAUUCUCAGUUUAUUGCAAACAAGGCACCCACUUGUUGCGUCUCGUUAUCAUCUUUCUAUGAUUCCAAUGUCACGCCAUGCCCCCGUUGUAGCUGUGGUUGCCAAGCCCAGGAAAGAACCUCUCUCCCGUGUAUUGGAGACACCAAAUUUCGUGUUGCUUCACUUCCUGUGGGUGAAGUGGAAGAAGGCCUUGUGAGGUGCACCAGUCACAUGUGCCCUGUUCGAGUCCAUUGGCACGUGAAGAACAAUUACAUGUACCAUUGGAGGGUGAAAUUAACAGUGACUAAUUACCACUAUGCGGCUAAUUAUUCUAAAUGGAACAUCAUGGUUCAGCAUCCAGGGUUCAGUCAGGCGACCACUGCUUUCAGCUUCAACUCUACCACCCUUGAUACAACCACGAGUCCAAAUGAGGCAGCCCUAUUUUGGGGGCUCAAAUAUGUCAAUGGCGAACUUUUACAGGCUGAUAACACGGGGUUUGGAUCAGUGACAUCUGAGAUUCUCUUGCACCAGGAUAGGAAGUCUUUCAGUCUCAGGAAUGGGUGGGCCUUCCCUCGAAGGGUGUAUUUCAAUGGUGAGGAUUGUAUAAUGCCACUUCCUGAUGUUUAUCCAAUGCUACCAAAUGGUAGCUGUGGCCCUCUAACUAGCCUCCAUAAGCACCUAGUUUUGUUGUGCAUGCUGCUUGUAUUGCUCCAUAAUUUUCAUCUUGAGUAGUAAAAUACCCUUGUUUUUUUUUUUUGGAUGGGGGACUGGAAGAAAAUGGAAACUUUGUAAUCUUGAUGU